GACGAACGCUGGCGGCGUGCUUAACACAUGCAAGUCGAACGGAAAGGCCCUGCUUUUGUGUGGUGCUCGAGUGGCGAACGGGUGAGUAACACGUGAGUAACCUGCCCUUGACUUUGGGAUAACUUCAGGAAACUGGGUCCAAUAUCCGAUAGAAGCUCCUGCUCCGUGGUGGGGGAUGGAAAGUUUCGGCGGUAUGGGAUGGAUUCGCGGCUUAUCGGCUUGUUGGUAGGGUAGUGGUUGACCAAGUCUUUGACGGGUAGCCGGCCUUGGAGGGUGACCGGCGACAAUGCGACUGCGGGACGGCGCAGUCUGGUAUGUUAGGCAGCGGUGGGAAGUAUUGCACAGCGGGGCGGAGCCUGGUGAGGCGGCGUCGGGGGCGGAAUGACGUCCUUCGGGGUGUGAACCGCUUUCGCCUGAGACGAGGCGUGAGUGACGGUAAUGGAUAAAUAAGCACCGGCUAACUACGUG
rnacentral:rRNA from 1 species